rnacentral:rRNA from 1 species
GACGAACGCUGGCGGCGUGCUUAACACAUGCAAGUCGAACGGAAAGGCCCUGCUUUUGUGGGGUGCUCGAGUGGCGAACGGGUGAGUAACACGUGAGUAACCUGCCCUUGACUUUGGGAUAACUUCAGGAAACUGGGGCUAAUACCGGAUAGGAGCUCCUGCUGCAUGGUGGGAGUUGGAAAGUUUCGGCGGUUGGGGAUGGACUCGCGGCUUAUCAGCUUGUUGGUGGGGUAGUGGCUUACCAAGGCUUUGACGGGUAGCCGGCCUGAGAGGGUGACCGGCCACAUUGGGACUGAGAUACGGCCCAGACUCCUACGGGAGGCAGCAGUGGGGAAUAUUGCACAAUGGGCGGAAGCCUGAUGCAGCAACGCCGCGUGCGGGAUGACGGCCUUCGGGUUGUAAACCGCUUUCGCCUGUGACGAAGCGUGAGUGACGGUAAUGGGUAAAGAAGCACGGGCUAACUACGUG